rnacentral:rRNA from 1 species
AGAGUUUGAUCCUGGCUCAGGAUGAACGCUGGCGGCGUGGAUGAGGCAUGCAAGUCGAGUGGGUUUAGACCCACGGCAGACGAGGUAGUAACACGUAGGUACGUACCGAAGAGUCAGGAAUAACCGGCCGAAAGGUCGGAUAAUACUUGAUAUCCCGUAAGGGGAAAGAUUUAUCGCUCUUUGAACGGCCUGCGGCGUAUCAGCUAGUCGGUAGGGUAACGGCCUACCAAGGCUACGACGCGUAGGGGAGCUGAAAGGCUGACCCCCACCGAUGGAACUGCGACACGGUCCAUACUCCUACGGGAGGCUGCAGUCGAGAAUCUUCCGCAAUGGGCGAAAGCCUGACGGAGCGACGCCGCGUGAAGGAUGAAGUCCCUCGGGACGUAAACUUCUUUUAUGAGGGAGGAAUUUUUGACGUUACCUCAUGAAUAAGGACCUCCUAACUCUGUGCCAGCAGGAGCGGUAAUACAGAGGGUCCAAGCGUUAUCCGGAUUUAUUGGGCGUAAAGGGUGCGUAGGUGGUUAUGUUAGUCUGUUGUUAAAUCUCCCGGCUCAACCGGGAACUCGCAACGGAAACGGCAUAACUCGAGGAUGUGAGAGGUGUACGGAACUCACGGUGUAGGGGUGAAAUCCGUUGAUAUCGUGGGGAACACCAAAAGCGAAGGCAGUACACUGGCACAUUCCUGACACUCAAGCACGAAAGCGUGGGUAGCGAACGGGAUUAGAUACCCCGGUAGUCCACGCCCUAAACGAUGACAACUGGCUAUAGGGAGUAUCGACCCUCUCUGUGGCGAAGCUAACGCGUUAAGUUGUCCGCCUGGGGUAGUACGGCCGCAAGGCUAAAACUCAAAGGAAUAGACGGGGCUCGCACAAGCGGUGGAUCAUGAGGCUUGAUUCGUCGCUAAGCGAAGAACCUCACCAGGGUUAGAAAUCAUACUGCACGCUCUGUGAAAGCAGAGAAGCCUUCGAGGGUGUAUGACAGGUGAUGCAUGGUCGUCGUCAGUUCGUGGCUUGAGUUGUUCCCUUAAGUGGGGAAACGAACGCAACCCCCGUUGCCUGUUACAAGUGUCAGGCGAGACAGCUCCCUCACGGGAGAGGAAGGUGGGGAUGACGCCAGAUCAGCAUGUCCCUCUGAUAGCCUGGGCUGCACUCGUGAUACAAUGGUUACUACAAAGGGACGCAAUACCGUAAGGUGGAGCAAAUCCUUAAAAGUAGCCCCAGUUCGGAUUGAGGGCUGCGACUCGCCCUCAUGAAGCCGGAAUCGCUAGUAAUCGCAAAUCAGCAACGUUGCGGUGAAUACGUUCCCGAGCCUUGUACUCACCGCCCGUCAACUCAAGGGAGCCGGAAGUGCCCGAAGUACCACCUCGCGUGGUCCUACGGUAAGUUCGGUGACAGGGAGUAAGUCGUAACAAGGUA